UACUAUGGAUUCCCAAAAGUAUGUUUUCUCCUUUCUUUUCCUCACAUAGUUGAAUAUUUAAAAGCGGGUUGACGGUUUUAUUUCUUUACUUGUUUGUUUCCAUUGUGUCUUAGCCUGGGUUCUGCAGAAGACAGGCUUCUUGAAGGUUUUGCUGGGGAGUGUGAGCUCCAGGAAAGAAGGAAUGUUGUGUAACUGAGUUGCCUGCAGCAAUUAUCUGCAAUCACCGAUUCCUGGUGGCAGGAUCAUGCCGGACCCCCUGAGGAGCCAUAUGCAAUGAAUCUGAAGACUGGUCAUCAGGGGAAGAAAGUGGAAGGAUUGCCUGCCAAGUUCUGUUCCCUGUAGGCCAUAGGUUUGCCUGUAAGAUGUUAACUCUCACAUCUUCCAGGAUGGAGAUUUGUGGGUACCAAACGGGUUCCCGACGCAUCCCACUCUGUGUCCACAGAGAGGCGCUGGUGCGGGCAGUGAAGAGCCUUGAGGUGUAAGUGGGGAUGACAGGAGCUGUUGUCUACCAGCAGCUGUGAUGUGAUUCCCUCUCCUUUCCGCCAUGACUUCUUCACCUGUAACCUUCUGGGAGGAAGAGAAAACUUGGACACACACAGGGACACCAGGGAUGGGCACGGAGGAAAGACCAAGCGAGGACACGGAAAGAAGGAGGCCAUUUGUAAGCUGAGGAGAGAGGUCUCAGGGGAAAACAGAGCUACCAGCACCUUGACCUUUGGCUUCGAGCCUCUACAACAGUGAGAAAAUAAAUUUCCAUUGUUUAAACCA